CCUACGGGAGGCAGCAGUAGGGAAUUUUCGUCAAUGGGCGCAAGCCUGAACGAGCGAUGCCGCGUGAGUGAAGAAGGCCUUCGGGUCGUAAAGCUCUGUUGCGGGGGAAAAAAGGAGGCAUCAGGAAAUGGGUGCUGACUGAUGGUGCCCCUCAGGAAAGUCACGCCUAAAUACGUGCCAGCAGCCGCGGUAAUACGUAGGUGGCGUGCGUUAUCCGGAAGGAUUGGGAGGAAAGGGUGCGCAGGCGGUCCUGCAAGUCUGGAGUGAAACGCAUGAGCUCAACUCAUGCAUGGCGUUGGAAACGGGAGGACUGGAGAGCAGGAGAGGGCGGUGGAACUCCAGGUGUAGCGGUAAAAUGCGUAGAUAUAUGGAAGAACACCAGUGGCGAAGGCGGCCGCCUGGCCUGUUGCUGACGCUGAGGCACGAAAGCGUGGGGAGCAAACAGGAUUAGAUACCCGAGUAGUC
rnacentral:rRNA from 1 species